rnacentral:ncRNA from 2 species
GUAGGAGUGAGCCUGCUCGCGAUUGAACGAUAACGCGGUGUACUUGAUACACCGCGGUGCCUGAAUCGCGAGCAGGCUCACUCCUAC